GCUGCACAAUCAUGAAAGACUCCAGAUCAGUACUGAUAUUUCCAGUGCCUCUUCAUUUUAGCAGGAUAUUUUGGUUUACAUUUAACUUCACUGUUAAAAAUGAUUGUGAAAAGUACCCGCAUGCACGUGGACAUGGUUGUCUUGUGGAUCAGACACUUGCAUCAUUCUAACGAAGAUUCAAUAAGAUGCCGUACCUGGCUUCUUCC